ACUUUCAGCAACGGAUCUCUUGGCUCUCGCAUCGAUGAAGAACGCAGCGAAAUGCGAUAAGUAAUGUGAAUUGCAGAAUUCAGUGAAUCAUCGAAUCUUUGAACGCACCUUGCGCUCCUUGGUAUUCCGAGGAGCAUGCCUGUUUGAGUCUCAUGG
rnacentral:rRNA from 1 species